rnacentral:rRNA from 1 species
UACGUAGGCAGCGAGCGUUGUUCGGAAUUACUGGGCGUAAAGAGUGUGUAGGCGGUGCUCUAAGUCUGUUGUGAAAUCUCCCGGCUCAACUGGGAGGGUGCGGCGGAAACUGGAGUGCUCGAGUGUGGGAGAGGUAAGCGGAAUUCCUGGUGUAGCGGUGAAAUGCGUAGAUAUCAGGAGGAACACCUGUGGCGAAAGCGGCUCACUGGACCAUAACUGACGCUGAUGCACGAAAGCUAGGGGAGCAAACAGG